UAACAGGUGACGGGGAAUCAGGGUUCGAUUCCGGAGAGGGAGCCUGAGAAACGGCUACCACAUCCAAGGAAGGCAGCAGGCACGCAAAUUACCCACUCUCAGAACGAGGAGGUAGUGACGAAAAAUAACAAUACGGGACUAUUAAUAGGCCCCGUAAUUGGAAUGAGUACAAUAUAAAUCCUUUAACGAGGAUCUAUUGGAGGGCAAGUCUGGUGCCAGCAGCCGCGGUAAUUCCAGCUCCAAUAGCGUAUAUUAAAGUUGCUGCGUUUAAAAAGCUCGUAGUUGUAUCUCAGUUCAUGUCAAUUGGUCAAUCACUUAAUAGUGAUUACUUUUUGACUGAACAUUAGACCGAUUUGUUUUCUGAUGCUCUUUACCGAGUGUU
rnacentral:rRNA from 1 species